UCUGCCUCAGGAAUUCCCAGGUGCUCACUAUCAAUGUCCAUCAGUUUCAUCUCAAAAUCCGAAAUUUUGUCUUGAGUAGGGCUUUCAAACAUAAAAGUGACGGUAUCGCUGCCAUCGUCAGCCUUGAUAGUGAUGAUGUCGUCAUUUCCAGAGCACUUCAACAUCUUGGACAUGUUAUUGAGAUUCAUACCCAUGGAAAUGUUACGGUCACAUCGGUAGUGCUCAAAACCCUCUGAUCUGAGGAGGAGAGCCACCAGGGCCACGUGGCUUGAAUCCAUGGCCUGGAGAGAGAAGCCCGUCGACGAGCAAUCGAAGUUGGCAUCAUUGACCAA
rnacentral:misc_RNA from 1 species